UGGGGAAUAUUGCACAAUGGGCGCAAGCCUGAUGCAGCCAUGCCGCGUGUGUGAAGAGGGCCUUCGGGUUGUAAAGCACUUUCAGCGAGGAGGAAGGUGGUGAGCUUAAUACGCUCAUCAAUUGACGUUACUCGCAGAAGAAGCACCGGCUAACUCCGUGCCAGCAGCCGCGGUAAUACGGAGGGUGCAAGCGUUAAUCGGAAUUACUGGGCGUAAAGCGCACGCAGGCGGCUUGUUAAGUCAGAUGUGAAAUCCCCGGGCUCAACCUGGGAACUGCAUUUGAAACUGGCAAGCUAGAGUCUCGUAGAGGGGGGUAGAAUUCCAGGUGUAGCGGUGAAAUGCGUAGAGAUCUGGAGGAAUACCGGUGGCGAAGGCGGCCCCCUGGACGAAGACUGACGCUCAGGUGCGAAAGCGUGGGGCAGCAAACAGGAUUAGAUACCCUGGUAGUCCACGCUGUAAACGAUGUCGAUUUUGGAGGUUGUGCCCUUGAGGCGUGGCUUCCGGAGCUAACGCGUUAAAUCGACCGCCUGGGGAGUACGGCCGCAAGGUUAAAACUCAAAUGAAUUGCGGGGUC
rnacentral:rRNA from 1 species